AAGGCCAAUCAAACUCGGAGAUAGCUGGUUCUCCCCGAAAGCUAUUUAGGUAGCGCCUCGGACGAAUACUACUGGGGGUAGAGCACUGUUAAGGCUAGGGGGUCAUCCCGACUUACCAACCCUUUGCAAACUCCGAAUACCAGUAAGUACUAUCCGGGAGACACACGGCGGGUGCUAACGUCCGUCGUGGAGAGGGAAACAACCCAGACCGCCAGCUAAGGUCCCAAAGUAUUGCUAAGUGGGAAACGAUGUGGGAAGGCUCAGACAGCUAGGAUGUUGGCUUAGAAGCAGCCAUCAUUUAAAGAAAGCGUAAUAGCUCACUAGUCGAGUCGGCCUGCGCGGAAGAUGUAACGGGGCUAAGCAAUACACCGAAGCUGCGGCAAUGUCUUUUAGACAUUGGGUAGGGGAGCGUUCUGUAAGCCGUUGAAGGUGAAUCGUAAGGUUUGCUGGAGGUAUCAGAAGUGCGAAUGCUGACAUGAGUAACGACAAAGGGGGUGAAAAACCUCCUCGCCGGAAGACCAAGGGUUCCUGUCCAACGUUAAUCGGGGCAGGGUGAGUCGACCCCUAAGGUGAGGCCGAAAGGCGUAAUCGAUGGGAAACGGGUUAAUAUUCCCGUACUUCUGACUAUUGCGAUGGGGGGACGGAGAAGGCUAGGUGGGCCAGGCGACGGUUGUCCUGGUUCAAGUGCGUAGGCUUGAGAGUUAGGUAAAUCCGGCUCUCUCUAAGGCUGAGACACGACGUCGAGCUACUACGGUAGUGAAGUCAUUGAUGCCAUGCUUCCAGGAAAAGCCUCUAAGCUUCAGAUAGUCAGGAAUCGUACCCCAAACCGACACAGGUGGUCGGGUAGAGAAUACCAAGGCGCUUGAGAGAACUCGGGUGAAGGAACUAGGCAAAAUGGUACCGUAACUUCGGGAGAAGGUACGCUCUUGAUGGUGAAGUCCCUCGCGGAUGGAGCUGACGAGAGUCGCAGAUACCAGGUGGCUGCAACUGUUUAUUAAAAACACAGCACUGUGCAAAAUCGCAAGAUGACGUAUACGGUGUGACGCCUGCCCGGUGCCGGAAGGUUAAUUGAUGGGGUUAGCGCAAGCGAAGCUCUUGAUCGAAGCCCCGGUAAACGGCGGCCGUAACUAUAACGGUCCUAAGGUAGCGAAAUUCCUUGUCGGGUAAGUUCCGACCUGCACGAAUGGCGUAAUGAUGGCCACGCUGUCUCCACCCGAGACUCAGUGAAAUUGAAAUCGCUGUGAAGAUGCAGUGUACCCGCGGCUAGACGGAAAGACCCCGUGAACCUUUACUACAGCUUGGCACUGAACAUUGAACCUACAUGUGUAGGAUAGGUGGGAGGCUAUGAAGACGUGACGCCAGUUGCGUUGGAGCCGUCCUUGAAAUACCACCCUUGUAUGUUUGAUGUUCUAACUUAGACCCAUUAUCUGGGUUGAGGACAGUGCCUGGUGGGUAGUUUGACUGGGGCGGUCUCCUCCCAAAGAGUAACGGAGGAGCACGAAGGUGGGCUAAUCACGGUUGGACAUCGUGAGGUUAGUGCAAUGGCAUAAGCCCGCUUAACUGCGAGAAUGACGGUUCGAGCAGGUGCGAAAGCAGGUCAUAGUGAUCCGGUGGUUCUGUAUGGAAGGGCCAUCGCUCAACGGAUAAAAGGUACUCCGGGGAUAACAGGCUGAUACCGCCCAAGAGUUCAUAUCGACGGCGGUGUUUGGCACCUCGAUGUCGGCUCAUCACAUCCUGGGGCUGAAGUCGGUCCCAAGGGUAUGGCUGUUCGCCAUUUAAAGUGGUACGCGAGCUGGGUUUAGAACGUCGUGAGACAGUUCGGUCCCUAUCUGCCGUGGGCGUUGGAAGAUUGAAGGGGGCUGCUCCUAGUACGAGAGGACCGGAGUGGACGAACCUCUGGUGUUCGGGUUGUGUCGCCAGACGCAUUGCCCGGUAGCUAAGUUCGGAAUUGAUAAGCGCUGAAAGCAUCUAAGCGCGAAGCGAGCCCUGAGAUGAGUCUUCCCUGACAGUUUAACUGUCCUAAAGGGUUGUUCGAGACUAGAACGUUGAUAGGCAGGGUGUGUAAGCGUUGUGAGGCGUUGAGCUAACCUGUACUAAUUGCCCGUGAGGCUUAACCAU
rnacentral:rRNA from 1 species